rnacentral:tRNA from 1 species
GGAGUUGUGCCUGAAUUAAAGGGUCACUUUGAUAGAGUGAACCAUGGAAGUUAAAAUCUUCCCAACUCCU